UACGUAGGUGACGAGCGUUAUCCGGAUUUACUGGGCGUAAAGCGCUUGUAGGUGGCUUUGUAAGUUGGGCGUGAAAACUCUGGCUUAACCCAGAGACGCCGUCCAAUACUGCGAGGCUCGAGGAUGUCAGAGGAAGGUGGAAUUCCUGGUGUAGUGGUGAAAUGCGUAGAUAUCGCUUGGAACGCCGAAGGUGAAAACAGGUGCUGGGGUUGUGCCGACGCUGAGACACGAAAGCCAGGGGAGCAAACGGG
rnacentral:rRNA from 1 species